UGAAUGUACUUCCUUUUCUCUUUCACCUAGCUCUUAAGUCAUAAUAAAACGAGAACUAGCUAGAUUGAGAAACAAGUAGCUAUAGAGGCAAGAAGAAAGAAAAACAAGAUGUGUCUCAUUUGGCGCUCAGAGAAAAGAACGAGGAAAGUGUUUUGUGGUGGUGAUCAUAUUAGGCCCGUGGGAUUUCUGUUAGGCCUCAUUUUUGCGUUUCUGUCCCUUCUUAUCUCCUUUAUUGGUCUUUUCGUCUGGAUCGUUGGAUUGUUGUUAACUUGCUUAUGUUCUGGAUGUGGACCAACCAUCGUAAGAGAAGCUCGGAAUAUGAUCAAUGCUCCAGUAAAUGUUAUGGAGUGGUUUACUGCUCAUAUUCCUUUUUGAUUGUUAUGCUCCAGUAAUUUAGUUCCCAAAUUAUGGGAUUUCAGUUGUGUUAUUAUACUCUAAUAAGUAUGAUUAAGUAAUGUUUGUGUAACUUUUUUAUGUUAUUUAUCAAAUCCGUAUUCGACCAGAAUAGCAAAUUCGUGUUUCCUUUAAGAUAUAAUAUAGUUUUAACUUUGAGCUUUGUACUA